UUAAAAGUAAGUUAAUUUUUAAAACUAUAGAUCUGUGGAGUCUAAAAACCAUCAAUGGCUUUUGAG
rnacentral:tRNA from 1 species